rnacentral:rRNA from 1 species
GGGCCCGCACAAGCGGUGGAGUAUGUGGUUUAAUUCGAUGCAACGCGAAGAACCUUACCAGGGUUCUAAUGCGAGUGACCGCUCCUGAAAGGGAGCUUUCCUUCGGGACACGAAGCAAGGUGCUGCAUGGUUGUCGUCAGCUCGUGCCGUGAGGUGUUGGGUUAAGUCCCGCAACGAGCGCAACCCCUAUCUUUAGUUGCCAGCGAUUCGGUCGGGGACUCUAGAGAGACUGCCUGCGCAAGCAGAGAGGAAGGCGGGGACGACGUCAAAUCAUCAUGGCCUUUAUGCCCAGGGCUACACACGUGCUACAAUGGUAAGGACAAAGGGCAGCGAGCCGGCGACGGUCAGCGAAUCCCAAAAACCUUAUCUCAGUUCGGAUUGGAGUCUGCAACUCGACUCCAUGAAGCUGGAAUCGCUAGUAAUCG